AUCUUUGCCCCGAAUUUUGGUUUUAUUCACUUCAAACGGCUUCGAAGUGAAUGAUGAAAAGGGAAUCAGGUGUAAAUCCUGAACAGACCCGCUGCUGUAAGCUCCGCUUAUGUGCUGAACAAUUACCUCAAUUGCCACUGUUCCGGUAGACCGGGAUGGGAAGGCGUUCAGACACGGGAGUAAGUCAGAAGACCUGCCAGAAUACAGAUCGUUUU
rnacentral:ncRNA from 2 species